GACGAACGCUGGCGGCGUGCUUAACACAUGCAAGUCGAGCGAUGAAGUUCCUUCGGGAACGGAUUAGCGGCGGACGGGUGAGUAACACGUGGGUAACCUGCCUCAUAGAGGGGAAUAGCCUUCCGAAAGGAAGAUUAAUACCGCAUAAGAUUGUAGUUUCGCAUGAAACAGCAAUUAAAGGAGUAAUCCGCUAUGAGAUGGACCCGCGUCGCAUUAGCUAGUUGGUGAGGUAACGGCUCACCAAGGCGACGAUGCGUAGCCGACCUGAGAGGGUGAUCGGCCACAUUGGGACUGAGACACGGACCAGACUCCUACGGGAGGCAGCAGGGGGGAAUAUUGCACAAGGGGGGAAACCCUGAUGCAGCAACGCCGCGUGAGUGAUGACGGUCUUCGGAUUGUAAAACUCUGUCUUCAGGGACGAUAAUGACGGUACCUGAGGAGGAAGCCACGGCUAACUACGUGCCAGCAGCCGCAGUAA
rnacentral:rRNA from 1 species